rnacentral:rRNA from 1 species
AGUGAACGCUGGCGGUAGGCCUAACACAUGCAAGUCGAACGGCAGCACAGUAAGAGCUUGCUCUUACGGGUGGCGAGUGGCGGACGGGUGAGGAAUACAUCGGAAUCUACUUUUUCGUGGGGGAUAACGUAGGGAAACUUACGCUAAUACCGCAUACGACCUGCGGGUGAAAGCAGGGGACCUUCGGACCUUGCGCGAUUGAAUGAGCCGAUGUCGGAUUAGCUAGUUGGCGGGGUAAAGGCCCACCAAGGCGACGAUCCGUAGCUGGUCUGAGAGGAUGAUCAGCCACACUGGAACUGAGACACGGUCCAGACUCCUACGGGAGGCAGCAGUGGGGAAUAUUGGACAAUGGGCGCAAGCCUGAUCCAGCCAUACCGCGUGGGUGAAGAAGGCCUUCGGGUUGUAAAGCCCUUUUGUUGGGAAAGAAAAGCAGCAGGUUAAUACCCCGCUGUUCUGACGGUACCCAAAGAAUAAGCACCGGCUAACUUCGUG